GUGAAGUUGUAGCCGACAACAUCAAUGAAGUUGCUUUAGAGAGGAUCAGUCAGUUAAACCCCUAUUAUAUGAUUUAAUAAUUUAGUAUUUAGUCAUUUACUACUAGCUUCUCUUACUGUGAUGGAGACAUUUAAAGAGGAAACAGCUAGUGCAUAGCUUCACAAUAUAGAUAGUGAGGAAUUAAUGGGUAUGUUUAGUGAUGCAAAAGUAUGGUUUCCUAAUGCAACAAUUUGCUAUAUCACUUGCAAACUAAGAUCAAAAAAGAAUAGGACUGUUGACUAUCUAGACACUCCAGAUUUAAGUUUAAGAGAAAAGAUUGUUAAAUGGUCAAUUAAUGUAGCACGUAAAAACAAAUUUACAUAUUGACUGAAUCGAUGCAAAGUAAGAGAUGAGAUUUGCCAAAGACAAAAAAUCAAGUGGCAAAGUUAAUAAAAGAAAAAAUGACUUCAUUUACACCAUUUCUUACUGGAAAGAUGAUGAAACUGAUAUUGAAGCUGCUGACUAUUGCAUGAAAAAGACCCAGCAUGCUGCUGAUGUUGUUUCUGUACUAAAACAUCAUCAACAUAUCUAUUAUGAGUUUUACAUUCAUCUCUCAUAUUUGGUGGUUGUCUGGUUGGAGGGGGGGGGGUCAUACGCCCCUCCCAUAAUAGAAACACCACUUGUAUACAUAAGAUCUUGUAUAACAUAAUUUUAUAUUGUAUACUAGUUUUACUCAUUUUAGUAAAGAUAAAUAUUUAUAAAA